GAUGAACGCUGGCGGCGUGCCUAAUACAUGCAAGUCGAGCGAACAGACGAGGAGCUUGCUCCUCUGACGUUAACGGCGGACGGGUGAGUAAAACGUGGAUCACCUACCUUUAAGACUGGGAUAGCUUCCGGAAACCGGUACUAAUACCGGAUAAUAUCUUCAACCGCAUGGUUGAAUAGUGAAAGAGGGUUUUGCUGUCACUUAUAGAUGGAUCCGCGCUGCAUUAGCUAGUUGGUAAGGUAACGGCUUACCAAGGCGACGAUGCGUAGCCGACCUGCGAAGGGGAACGGCGACAGUGAGACUGAGAGACGGUCCAGACUCCUACGGGAGGCAGCAGUAGGGAAUGUUGCGAAAUGGGCGAAAGCCUGACGGAGCAGCGCCGGGUGAAUGAUGAAGGUCUUCGGAUCGUAAAACUCUGUUAUUAGGGAAGAACAAAUGUGUAAGUAACUAUGCACGUCUUGACGGUACCUAAUCAGGAAGCCACGGCUAACUACGUG
rnacentral:rRNA from 1 species